rnacentral:lncRNA from 1 species
ACCAAUCAUUUCCACUUUUUUUCAUUUGCUUUUUAUUAAAGCCUCCAUACCUUCUGAGUGGAAGACUGCAAAACUCACCCCUCUGUAUAAAAAAGGUUCCAUUGUACAUGCUAGUAAUUACCGCAUGCUUGCUGUAAGUGGGACCUUUUACCGCCUUUAUACCAACRUGCUUUGUACCCUUUUGCAAGACUGGUGUGAGCAAACACAUUCAAUUCCCGACUCUCAGUUUGGGUUGUAUCCCGGGCGCAGUACUCUUCAUCCACUCUUUAUUCUUCGUCAUCUGAGGAAUGCUGC